rnacentral:rRNA from 1 species
UACGUAGGGUGCGAGCGUUAAUCGGAAUUACUGGGCGUAAAGCGUGCGCAGGCGGUUCGUUAAGUCAGCUGUGAAAGCCCCGGGCUCAACCUGGGAACUGCGGUUGAAACUGGCGAACUAGAAUCUGGCAGAGGGGGGUGGAAUUCCUGGUGUAGCGGUGAAAUGCGCAGAUAUCAGGAAGAACACCCGUGGCUAAGGCGGCUCUCUAGUACGGUACUGACGCUGAGACGCGAAAGCGUGGGGAGCGAACAGG